UACAGACUGAGACAUGGAGCCAGAGGACUGAUACCAGCCAGGAAGAGGGAUGUGUUUUCCAGCCACUUCAUAUGAGGGCUGAGUCAGAGAUUCCAUCUCUUCCGGAGGCAGACAGGGCCAGGCAGGCCAGGCCAGGGCAGGGCAGAGCCAAGCGAAGGGAGCUCCCCUUUGAAAACCCUGUCUGUGGAAAGAUCAACGGGCAACUCCUGGGGGAGUCACUGUGCUGUCCUACCCAGUCCUACCCAAACAGCCCCAUGGCCUGGGGCCUGGCUGGGGUGAUAUUCAUUAGGCACUAAAUGAAAGAAAACGGACUAAGACAGGGACAAAUUACCUGGAUUUGUCCAAUAAGAACCGCUUGUUGAAAAACUGUUUGCUACGGUGUGCCCUAAUGACGAUGACCCAGGCCUGCAGCCUCUAUGUCCCAAUGUAGCUCUGCUCUGUUGUGCUGCUGACUGUUUACCUUGGCCCCAGCCCUCCCACCAAAGGACUUUCAACUCAGCAGCGCUGCCCUCCAGGGUGACACUGUCUCUCUUACUCACUGUCUAAAUAAAGCAGCUUUAGGCGUCAGUC